rnacentral:rRNA from 1 species
UACGGGGGGAGCAAGCGUUGUUCGGAUUUACUGGGCGUAAAGGGCGCGUAGGCGGUCGUGACAAGUCACUUGUGAAAUCUCCGGGCUUAACCUCGGAACGGUCAAGUGAUACUGUCGGACUAGAAGGUACAGAAGGGGCAACUGGAAUUCUCGGUGUAGCGGUGAAAUGCGUAGAUAUCGAGAGGAACACCUGGCGGCGAAGGCGGGUUGCUGGGCUGACACUGAACGCUGGAUGAUGGCGAAAGCCUAGGGGAGCGAAGCGGG